rnacentral:rRNA from 1 species
GUUGAACGCUGGCGGCGGGCCUAACACAUGCAAGUCGAGCGGAUGAAGGGAGCUUUCGCCGGGAUUCAGCGGCGGACGGGUGAGUAAUGCCUAGGAAUCUGCCUGGUAGGGGGGGAUAACGUCCGGAGACGGGCGCUAAUACCGCAUACGUGGUGAGGGAGAAGGUGGGGGAGGUUCGGACAUCACGCUAUGAGAUGAGCCUAGGUCGGGUUAGCUAGUUGGUGGGGUAAGCACCUACCAAGCAGACGAUCGGUAACUGGUCUGAGAGAAGGGUCGCUCGCAUUAGAACGGAAACACGGACCAUACUACUACGGUAGGCCGCAGUGGCGAAUAGGAGACAACAGGCGAAAGCCUGACACAGCGAGGCCGCGUGUGUGGAGAAGGUCUUCGGAGUGGAAAGCACGUCAACUGGGUAGGAAGGGCAUUAAGCUAAUACCUUGCUGGUUUGACGGUACCAACAGAAUAAGCACCGGCUAACUUCGUG